rnacentral:rRNA from 1 species
AUUGAACGCUGGCGGAAUGCUUUACACAUGCAAGUCGAGCGGCAGCACGGGGGCAACCCUGGUGGCGAGCGGCGAACGGGUGAGUAAUACAUCGGAACAUGCCCAGUCGUGGGGGAUAACACUUCGAAAGAAGUGCUAAUACCGCAUACGUCCUGAGGGGGAAAGCGGGGGAUCGCAAGACCUCGCGCGAUUGGAGUGGCCGAUGUCAGAUUAGCUAGUUGGUGGGGUAAAGGCCUACCAAGGCAACGAUCUGUAGCUGGUCUGAGAGGAUGAUCAGCCACCCUGGAACUAGGACACGGCCCGGAAUCUUACGGGAGGCAGCAGUGGGAAAUUUUGGACAAUGGGGGCAACCCUGAUCCAGCCAUUCCGCGUGAGGGAAGAAGGCCUUCGGGUUGUAAAGCUCUUUCGGCAGGAACGAAACGGUGAGCUCUAACAAAGCUUGCUAUGACGGUACCUGAAGAAGAAGCACCGGCUAACUACGUG